AUCUUUAAAACUUUUUAGUCACCUUGUUUUCACUUUCUUCCACCCUUUCAACAUACGAGAAGGAGAGUCAGCCAAGGGAAGGUUGAUCUCAAGCCAAGAGAAAGAGAGAAGUCUAAGAAAUGUCUAAGAAAUUUUAUUUUAUUUUUUGUUCAAAUUUCAAGACACGAGAAGGAGAAUCGGUCAGAGAAAGAUUGAUCCUAAGCCAAGAGAAGGAGAGAAGUCUGGUCUAAGAAAUUUUAUUUUAUUUUUUGUUCAAAUUUCAAGACACGAGAAGGAGAAUCGGUCAGAGAAAGAUUGAUCCCAA
rnacentral:lncRNA from 1 species